UAUAGCACACACACACAGCACCCUCACAUACAACACUCACACACACACGCACCCCCCACCUCAAUGCAGUGUGUAUUCAGCAGUCUGUGUGUGUGCGUGUAUUCAGCAGUCUGUCUGUGUUUGCGUGUAUUCAGCUGUCUGUUUGCGUGUACUCAGCAGUCUGUGUGUGCGUGUACUCAGCAGUCUGUGUGUGCGUGUACUCAGCAGUCUGUGUGCGUGUACUCAGCAGUCUGUGUGUGUGUGUGUGUGUGUGUGUGUGUGUACUCAGCAGUCUGUGUGUGUGUGUAUUCAUCAGUCUCUGUAUUCAGCAGUCUUGUGUGUGUGUAUUCAGCAGACUGUGUGUAUGUAUUCAGCAGUCUGUCUGUGUAUGUAUUGCAUUUGUUGGAGAUACUAAUAAAUAUAAGCUUAAUUUUAUCUAUUUAUGUCAUUAUUUAAAAUUUGUAUCAUUGAACUCUGUGUUCUUUUAAAACAAAAGUUAUUAGUUCGGACAACAGUACGAGUUGUUUUUAUCUAAACUUAAACCUCAGUAUUUGGGUUUAAUUGCCGUGUUGGCACUUUAAGGAGAAAAAAUGUUGGCAUGUAUUGUGGUUUGGGCACUCGGGCUCAAAAAGGUUCGCCAUCACUGGUCUAUAAUAAGGCUUUUUUCACUCAGAAUGUAUGUUGCCUGUUUAUUCAUCUUUCAAAAAUGCAUUAACAGUUUAAAUAAGGAGUGAACCCAGGACAGUGCCCUGUUGGAUAUUCAAAUUACCAAUUUUGUCCAAUUUUUUUCCAAUCACUCUCUGCACUUUAUCUUAAACAAAGUGUAAUACUCAAACACACAUUUUCAUCUAAAAGCCAUUGAUUUUGGCUUACAACUGGGUAAAACCCUAUCAAGUGCUUUACAAAGUUCCCGCUCCGUGCCAUACCUACACCUUCUUUUCAAAUACUUUUAUUUAGGUUCUUAAUUUUUUAUUAAUUUUUUUUAUGAAAAUUAUAACAAUUAUAAAAAUAACAAUAAACAGGGUGUGAAUAUAUUUUCACACCAUCUAAGAAGUAUUUUUUUCCUCUAACUAUGAAAAUAAAUUCACUGGAGUUACUACUUUUGGAGCUUGCCUUACAUAUGAUUUGAUUGUCUUCUUUUUACAGAAUGUCAACUGUAUGAAAAUUCCGUAUAAUUGAUGUAUUCUGGGAAAUAUGAAAUUAAAGCUAUUAUGGAGCAUGCAGUGGCCAUUUUUACAUGGACUUUGCAACAAAGCACAGAAACCAGAAAGUUUAUUGAUGUCUUCCCAUAACUUAAAGAGGAAGUCUAACUUGCCCAAAUUUGUUAUAUUAUGUGUAUUUACUCAUUCCUAUAUUUAAAGAGUUGCUUCAAAUAUCAUUACCACCGUGAGUUUGAAGUAGUCAUGGUGUGCGGAGUCUGUAUGUUCAGCUUUUUAGUGUAAAACACUGUACAUACAGAGACGUUUUAAAAGUCUAACUAGUCUAACAAGAAUUCUGUGCUAGCCAUCCCAACAUAUCAUUUGACGAUCUUAGCCUCUGAGUGACCAAAGGGAUCGGCAUCCGGUUUCUGCAUCUCUGCAGAAGGCUAAUGCGCGCAACCUGGCUCAGACGAGGCUUGGCAUCUGGUAGACGCCCAUGUAGGAGGGCAGACUGUUGCAAAACAAGUUGCUCCAUUACUUAGGAAGGGUACUACUCCUGGCAUCAUAACCACUACAGCCCACUUUUAUUAAUUCUCCCUCACAUUUCACCUGUCACUCCCACUAUUGCAACAUUCCCACAUCACAGACCAUGUCCUCCUAUCACAGCUCCUAACCCCACACUACUGCCUCUAUACCCUUUAUCAAAGCCCCUAUCCCCCACCUUACUACCUGUCCCCCCCCAUUACAACCAUUGCACCCUAGCACAGCCACUCUAUAGUUUCUAUCUGCCACUACUGUCCCUAUCCCUUAUUAAAACUCCCUUCCCCACAUUACUGCCUCUAUCACAGCCAUUGUCUACCCCAGCACACCCCCCUCUACAGUUCCUAUCUCCCUUUACUGGCCCUAUACCCCCCAUCAAAGCCUCCACCCUAUCACAAUCCUUUUCCUCCCUACUGCCCCAUUUCUACAUCCCUGUACGAUCCCCCGCAUUAUUGCCCCUGUCCUCACACAGCUCAUAUGCCCCACAUUACUGAGUUUGUUUUUAUGCCACACUACUGCCCAAAACCUCCACCAUAGCCUCUGUCUCCCAUUACACUCCCCUUAACCUACGUAUCACUGCCUCUGUCCUGCUUAUCACAGUCCCUAGCCCCCCUCACAUUACUGCCCCAAUCCCACAUCACAGCUAUUAUCCCCCCCAUCACAGCCCCUCUACAGUUUCUAUCACUCAGUACUACCCCUACUGCCCACAUUAGUCAUCGCUUCCCAUUCAAUGCAGCCUAUACCCCCCCACAUACACUGCAGCCCAUACCACCCCCAAACACUACAGCCCCUAUCCCCUCCUCAUUGUCCUUUUCCCUCACAACAGCCUAUAUCUCCCCCCACACUAAAGCUCCUCUCCCUCCACAAACCACAGCCUCUAUCCCCAUAUACUUUAGCCCAUAUCCUCCCUUUAUACUACAUCCCAUACCUCCCCCUUUAUACUAUAUGCCAUAUCUAUUCCAUACACUACAGUCAUUAUUCCACUACACUACACCUCAUAUAUCCCCCUUACACUACAGCCUUGUUCCUUAAGCACACUGCAGCUCUCCUAUUCUUCAUGCACUACAGCCCCUAUUGCCUUCAUAUACUCCAGCCUCCAUCCCCAAACCCACACACUACAAUCAUAAUCUCCCCCACAUACACUACAGCAAUUAGCUCCCCCACACAAGGAAACACUACAACCCCUCUCCUCACACUACACCACUAACUAACCUACACCGCAUACUACACUGCAACCUCUCCCCGCAGCUUUCCCUCACAUGCAAACCCAGACACAGCUCAAUGGGCAGAAUCCCCACAUGCUGCUACCUCUCCACACACAAUCAUACAGGCAUAGCACUACAACAAGUCUACCACACAGAGAAACCUUCCCCCAAACGUUCAACCUCACAAGCAGCCUCAAAAUACAUACAAAUUUACCACCAGCAUCCCUAUACACACUUCACCCUCUUCCAGCCCUGUCCCUCUUUUGUCCUCUAAUAUUCCACUUAUGGGGUCACCAAAGAUCUGUCACCAGCAAACAGAACACGCAUGUCAUUAAAUUUGCUUGUACUGUGCUAAACAAACACAGGGCGUUUUCCUAAAGCCAGAACUCUACAGCAGGACUCUAGGCUUUAACUGCAACGGAGGAGCAUCAAUGUGAUAUGUCAUUGAUGAUAACACAACACACCUUUCACUGGCCCUGCCCCAACCACUCCCAAAUUGGGCUGCUCUGCCUUUAAAUGCCCAGUCCUGAGUCCGCUCUGGGACAAAUACACUUAUUAUAAAACUAUUCCGUAUAUACGUUACAGAUCAGAGACAGUAGUUGUGACAAAAUUAAGAUAAGAAAUAGUCAGAUGCCUUGUUUGCUCGGAAAAUGUAAACCAGAUGACACAUACAGUAAAUAGAGUUGCAUGGCUAAAACCAGGUAUCUAUAUUUGAAGGAGCUAUUGCAGCUGGCACAUUGCAAGUUGUCUAGAGUCAUGCUCCUUCCUCUCCUCCGUUACAGCACUAUACCUUGUGAGCCUUGCUAGCAUCUGUAAAGUUCUGAAGAAGCUAUUUGAAGGUCGGCACACAGCACUGUAGUUGAUAGAACUUAGGUCAGAAUGUGGGGUUUACAGGAAUAGCAGUGGAUUCAAAUUAGAGUUUAACAGAAAAUGCCAGCUGCC